rnacentral:tRNA from 1 species
AAAAAGUAGCUUAAAAUAAAGCAUCAGGCCUACAACCAGAGUAUAUUGGCCCUCCAAUCUUUUUGA